CACAAUAUAUUUAUGUAAGGUUUAUGCAAGAUAUUGGUCCGGAUCAAUCAUAAAAACUUAUUUCUUCAUCAUAUAUAUAUGUGUGUAAGUUUUUUAUUUGAUUGAGCCGUGCCAAUAUCGUGCCUAUAAUUCUUACGAUCACAAAUCUUCAUCUCCAGCAUUGAAGAUCAGGUUUGAGCAGCCUGCAGCUAGACGACGAGUCUGCAGUUGAAUGUUUAAUUUCUUAAUGUAUGACAGCUCAUCCUUAAAUUAAAUUAAGGUGCACGACCUAUAGGUAAUGAUAAAACGUUUGUUUUUUCAAAUACCAGAUCUUUAAGGUUUAAUCUAUGAAACACGUUGCCGUUCUUUAAUUUAUCAUUUCUUUUCCAAUAAUAAUUUUGUUGAGUGGAGGUUCGGAGGGUCGAGUCCAGCAUCCUCUGUUAGAAAUGUAACCUGACUGUAAUGCAAGUAUAAAGAAAUAAAAUUGUGCAUUCGCUAUUAGAUAUAA